rnacentral:tRNA from 1 species
AUCAAAAUUCAAUAUAGCCAAUUCUGCAAUGUUGGCUGCAAUAGUGAUACAUAAUGUUCCUUUCGGCCACAACUUA